GCCAGUGUGGUGUAAUGGUUUGAAUGUUGGACUACGACUCUGGAGACCAGGGUUCAUAUCCCCACUCAGCCA
rnacentral:tRNA from 1 species